rnacentral:rRNA from 1 species
UUGUGCUUGCACAGAUGACGACCGGCGCACGGGUGCGUAACGCGUAUAGAACCUACCUUUUACAGAGGAAUAGCCUUUAGAAAUGAAGAUUAAUGCCUCAUAGUAUUGUAGACUGGCAUCAGUUUAUAAUUAAAGAUUUAUCGGUAAAAGAUGGCUAUGCGUCCUAUUAGUUAGUUGGUAAGGUAACGGCUUACCAAGACAGCGAUAGGUAGGGGUCCUGAGAGGGAGAUCCCCCACACUGGUACUGAGACACGGACCAGACUCCUACGGGAGGCAGCAGUGAGGAAUAUUGGACAAUGGAGGAGACUCUGAUCCAGCCAUGCCGCGUGUAGGAAGAAUGCCCUAUGGGUUGUAAACUACUUUUAUACAGGAAGAAACACUGGUAUGUAUACCAGCUUGACGGUACUGUAAGAGUAAGGACCGGCUAACUCCGUGCCAGCAGCCGCGGUAAUACGGAGGGUCCGAGCGUUAUCCGGAAUCAUUGGGUUUAAAGGGUCCGCAGGCGGUCGAUUAAGUCA